UACAGAGGUCCCAAGCGUUGUUCGGAUUCACUGGGCGUAAAGGGUGCGUAGGUGGUUGGGAAAGUUUGAUGUGAAAGCUCGGAGCUUAACUCCGAAAUGGCAUUGAAUACUUCUUAACUUGAGGGUCGGAGGGGAGACUGGAAUUCUCGGUGUAGCAGUGAAAUGCGUAGAUAUCGAGAGGAACACCAGUGGCGAAGGCGAGUCUCUGGACGACUCCUGACACUGAGGCACGAAAGCUAAGGGGAGCAAACAGG
rnacentral:rRNA from 1 species